rnacentral:rRNA from 1 species
AGAGUUUGAUCCUGGCUCAUAACGAACGCUGGCGGCGUGCCUAACACAUGCAAGUCGAACGUGAAAGUCCUUCGGGAUGAGUAAAGUGGCGCACGGGUGAGUAAUGCGUAGAUAUCUGCCUGGUGAUCAGGGAUAACAUCUCGAAAGGGGUGCUAAUACCGGAUAAGCCCACGGAGUCUUCGGAUUCUGCGGGAAAAGGGGGGGACCUUCGGGCCUUCUGUCACCAGAUGAGUCUACGUACCAUUAGCUAGUUGGUGGGGUAAGAGCCCACCAAGGCGACGAUGGUUAGCUGGUCUGAGAGGAUGAUCAGCCACACUGGAACUGAGACACGGUCCAGACUCCUACGGGAGGCAGCAGUGGGGAAUUUUGCGCAAUGGGGGAAACCCUGACGCAGCAACGCCGCGUGAGUGAUGAAGGCCUUCGGGUCGUAAAGCUCUGUCAGAGGGAAAGAAAUGUGGGGCGCUAAUACCGUUACCACUUGACGGUACCCUCAAAGGAAGCACCGGCUAACUCCGUGCCAGCAGCCGCGGUAAUACGGAGGGUGCUAGCGUUGUUCGGAAUUAUUGGGCGUAAAGCGCGUGUAGGCGGUUUCAUAAGUCUGAUGUGAAAGCCCCGGGCUCAACCUGGGAAGUGCAUUGGAUACUGUGAGACUUGAGUACGGGAGAGGGCAGUGGAAUUCCUAGUGUAGGAGUGAAAUCCGUAGAUAUUAGGAGGAACACCGGUGGCGAAGGCGGCUGCCUGGACCGAUACUGACGCUGAGACGCGAAAGCGUGGGGAGCAAACAGGAUUAGAUACCCUGGUAGUCCACGCCGUAAACGAUGAGUACUAGGUGUUGCGGGUAUUGACCCCUGCAGUGCCGCAGCUAACGCAUUAAGUACUCCGCCUGAGAAGUACGGUCGCAAGACUAAAACUCAAA